rnacentral:sRNA from 1 species
AACUCCUGGCCAGGCCCUGUCCUCCCCACGUACCCCUGCAUCCCCAGCCUCGACCCAGGGACAUGCAGGGCUCACAGAAGACAGGGCUCAGGCUGCCGGAGCUCCAACCAAACUCUGUCCCACUUCACGCAUGGACUGUCCUGGGCAAAGGUGUUCACCUUUCCGAGCCUCGGUUUCCUUAUCUGUAAAGCAAAGCGACACCAGCAAGCCUGUGAGCAUUGUGUAUAUAGCAGACAUGGAGGUCCUGCAGCAGGAGGUGCUCAAUAAACACAAAGCGACUGAAGGAUGGGAUGUGCGAGAAUCCCAGUGGUGUGCACCCAGGCCGCGACACAUGGUGGUGUGCAUGACCAACUGCCCAACGCUCAUUGUCAUGGUGGGCCUGCCCGCCAGGGGCAAGACCUACAUCUCCAAGAAGCUGACUCGAUACCUGAACUGGAUUGGUGUGCCCACUCGGGAGUUCAAUGUUGGCCAGUAUCGCCGGGACGUGGUCAAGACCUACAAAUCUUUUGAAUUUUUUCUCCCCGACAAUGAAGAGGGCCUGAAAAUCAGGAA